AAGCUGUGCGAGUCUGAAGGUGGAAGAUGCAAGGUGGACACGUACCAAGGUGCUGAGCCUUCAAGGACAAGACAUGCACUUCAAUACCUAGCCAGCCUCUGAGCUUUCUAGAACAUGUUGCAGGAGAACAGACUGCAGAGCUUUGGGCAGGGAGCCAUGUCACCCGAUGGUACCAUGAAGAGAGGAGACCCCUGCAUUGGAAUUUGACAGAGCUACGAGUGAUGUGUUAAUAGUCAAAGCAAGAUUCUGCUAAUGCAGGCCCUCCAUGCCCCUAAUCAACUGCUCAGUCUUUGUUUGCUCGCAUCCCAGAUAAAAUUUGUCUUUCUUGAACAUGAGGAAUGAGAAAUGUCCAUAGUGGUACAGG